rnacentral:tRNA from 1 species
GUUCUUGUAGUUGAGUAUAACAGUAGCUUUUCAAGCUUCUAGUCCAGGUUAGAGUCUUGGUAGGAAUA